rnacentral:misc_RNA from 1 species
GUUUCUUUCUCCCUUCCCUGGUUUCCGAGCACAUAUAGGUUCCGGAUCCCACCACAAAUUGAAACAACAGCAGCUAGCGAAUACUGACUGCCGCUCGAGCUCUGCCAUGAAAAGUCGCCACUAUUUUCGCCACAAGAAUUUCGCCCGAAAAUCUAGCACUGUGAGGCUGUGCUGCCUGCUGGUGCCGCCGGGCAGGUCAAAGAGUUCCGUUGCCGGUGAAAAUGAAAAUAAUCCAAUCGAAACUGGUGUAGCACACGGCUCUCUUGUCCUCUAGUGACGAGUGGAUGGCAUGUUGGCUGUAGCCUGUAGGUUAGGCUUUUGAUGACAAAUUUGAUAGAAACAUGCCUCAAAGUUCAAACUACUGUUGAGAAGCGAAAUAACCGAGAUUUCCAAGUCCGUUCAAGAGUCUAUUUCCAACUGCUUCGUGCUUUCCCAGGUCCUCCAUUUCACCCCCAUCGCCGUGCACCGGCACCAGCGCGGGCGCGCCUCGCCGCCCCCACCGCCGUAUCAACGCACGAGGAUGCUGCCGCACGCGCCAUCCCGAACCUCGGGGGCCCUCAGGUUCAAACCGCACCUCCCCACCAAGCCGCCGCUCCUCACCUCUUCCUCCACCGCCACCCCCGCCUCUGCCUCCGCCUCCACGCGCGGCCGCCUCUGCGCCGCCGCCGCCGCCGCCGCCACACGCCGGGACCUCCUCGUCCUCGUCCCUCGCUAGUCGCAGCGUCCACCGUCCUCCAGUCCCUUCCCCUCGCCGCCUCCGCCGCGGCAGGCGAUGACAAGCCCGGCCCCACCGACGCCGGCUCAGGCGCAGGCGCCCGCCUCUCCGGCCUCGCCUCCGCCUCCGCCUCCAGCGGACGAGCCUGCUCUGUCGAGGGUAUACGACGCCACGGUCAUUGGGGAG